rnacentral:rRNA from 1 species
AGCGAACGCUGGCGGUAUGCUUAACACAUGCAAGUCGAGCGCGAAAGUGACUUCGGUCAUAAGUAGAGCGGCGGACGGGUGAGUAACACGUGGAUAAUCUGCCUUUAGGACUGGGAUAACCCUGGGAACUAGGGCUAAUACCGGAUAAGACCACAGGUUCCAUGGAACCAGGGGUAAAGGCGGCCUUCGGGCUGUCGCCGAAAGAUGAGUCCGCGUCCCAUCAGGUAGUUGGUGAGGUAACGGCUCACCAAGCCGAAGACGGGUAGCCGACCUUAGCGGGUGAUCGGCC